AUUACACGAUGGUUGGACUUCGAAAACGAAAACUGACCGUUCAGGAUAAAAACUCCGGGAAUCCAUCCAACCUGCCGGUUCCACAGAUGCCAGCUUUGAAAACUACAAGUGCCAAAAAAACAGCGGCAGCAUUACGGAAAGAAGCUUGUAACCUGAGAAUUCCAACAAAAGGGACCAAAGCGGAAUUGGAAAGAAGGAUAGAGCUUUAUAGAGAAAAGAAUCUGAACACCACCUUGAUUUCACCCGUUAAGCUCAUACCAGCACUUGAUCUAACGAAUUUUGAAGAUCUACCGCCUUAUAAAUUACUACAUGAGAUGACCAGGAUUGAUGUACAAUGGUUUGUAGCUACAAUAGUAUACAAUUAUUUUGAAAUUCGACAAGCACUAGCUGGAUACAAACAUGGAAGAGAGCUGCUGAAAGAUAAUUUUCUA